rnacentral:rRNA from 1 species
GACGAACGCUGGCGGCGUGCUUAACACAUGCAAGUCGAACGGAAAGGCCCUGCUUUUGUGGGGUGCUCGAGUGGCGAACGGGUGAGUAACACGUGAGUAACCUGCCCUUGACUUUGGGAUAACUUCAGGAAACUGGGGCUAAUACCGGAUAGGAGCUCCUGCUGCAUGGUGGGGGUUGGAAAGUUUCGGCGGUUGGGGAUGGACUCGCGGCUUAUCAGCUUGUUGGUGGGGUAGUGGCUUACCAAGGCUUUGACGGGUAGCCGGCCUGAGAGGGUGACCGGCCCCAUUGGGACUGGGAUACGGCCCAGGCCCCUCCGGGGGGCAGCAGUGGGGAAUAUUGCCAAAUGGGCGGAAGCCUGGUGCAGCAACCCCGCGUGCGGGAUGACGGCCUUCGGGUUGUAAACCGCUUUCCCCUGUGACGAAGCGGGGUUGGCGGUAAUGGGUAAAAAAGCCCCGGCUACCUACGU